rnacentral:lncRNA from 1 species
CCCUCCAUCGAGAUGUAUAGGAUGUGCCAAUCUAAUUGGAAUAAUUGAUCUCUGACUUAAUAAUCCAAUGACUAAGAAUAUUUAGAUUAGAGUUUUAAGAUUUUAGGUCUCAUUGGCAUGAUCUCAUCAUGGUCUUAAACUUAUUGUCUUAAUCUAUGGGGUUCACCAUAAUCUUAAAGAUAAAUAAGAUGUAAAAAAUGAUGAAACAAAAUAUCUCAUUUUAUUCAUAAAUAAACAAUAUCAUUAUAUGAGUUGGAA